AAAAUAUAUAUAUACUGUAUAUACAACUUAUUGACAUGGUUUUCUUGUAGGUUAUAGCUUUAAAUUUGUUAAAAUAUGUUCGCUUACAUGAGAGAAAAUGGGCUUGCUGAUAUUGUUUAUAAGGUAAGGUCCUCAGAAGUUAUAGAAAAUGUUGAUAUUUGGUCUGAUUUGUAAUGUUUUAACUAAUGUUAUUGUGCCAUUUACAAAAACAUGUACAUCGAAAUGUGUGGAUAAGUAAUUUACAUGUAGUGGGUAUGAUAUUAUGGCUUUUGUUUAAGGUAUUAUCGAGUUAGAGCUGAGAAGAUAUUCAGUGUUGAUGAACAGUGCAUAUAUUUAGAUCUGGGAAGUACUGUGUUGAUGUUUUUAGAAUUGAGAAUAAAUCCUGUGUUUCAGAAUAUUUUUAUUUCACAAAUAAAAGUACAAUAUGUAUCAUGCGACAGACAAAACCUAUACUAGCCCUGUCCUUAUAUCACUAUAAACAAUACUCUGAAGAUGAAAUAGGAUUGAUUUUUUAGAAUUAUAUAAUUGGGAAUGUGGUUAAGAGAAUUAUAAUUAGUUACAAUAUAUCUCCAAAUUAAUAAUAGAAGAUAGAGGGAUUAGUCAGUCUAUACUGACUCUAUCUAUUAAGACACUUCCAUUAUAAAGUGAUUAUAGGCAAAUUAGAACUGUAGCCGGUUAAUUUUUUUAAAAAUGUGGUUACCUUAUCUAAACAUGUGAUUUCUCUGAUGUAUGACAAGACUAUAUCUAACAUAAAUUUAUUUACAUCAGUACUACUUAUUUGAAGGUCACAUAAAUUAAUGAAAUAGUAUAAUGCAGGUUAGAAAUGAGAGUUCUUUGGUUAGUACAGAGAGAACAAUGAAGAUAAAAAGUUCUCAGACUUCCUUUAAAUAACCACACAGGCAGACAGGACUAUCAGUUAAAUGAGAAUUAAACUAGUCAGAAUUUGAAGUUAUUUACAGAAAGUUGACAUAAUAUUAUAUUUUCUAUCACCAUGGUAUUUGAAGAUAUCAACACAUACAGGUUUUACAAUGAAAUUAUUAUGAUGUAAAAAUUCCCUCUUUAAAGUUUUGAUAGAUGUUAGAGAAGGAAAUAGACAGGCUGGAUCAUUUCAUUUUGCCAUAAGAGAAGGGAAGAAUCUAUUACUUAUGAAUGUGUUCUUGAUGUGGUAAAUUAAAUAAUCUAUGGUAUAAGAGGAUGUAAUUAUCAAUGGUAUUCCUACUUCCUUGCAUAUUGUAAUUUUGGCUGGAUGAAUGUAGUAUAAAUAAUCUUUCUAUCACGCCUGAACUUCAACAUCCUUAAAAUACACUUUUUCAUAAAUGCUGUUAAUAUGGGUAGACCAGUUUGCAGAUUCUAUAAAAAAUAUUCCGAAAUAUUUAUAAUGGGUAACAUUAUUAAUUACACAAUCGUUUAGAAAAAGGUCAGAUUGCAAAAGAGAAGUUCUAUGGUUUGAUUUGGAUUAAAAAUAAUUCUCCAUUCAUUGGCCAGUAUGGAAUUUUUCGUAAGGUUGACAAUUUUUCAAUUUAUACCAAAAACCAUCAUGCCAAACUCUAUCAAAUGCUUUACUUAUGUCGCAGAAUAUGACAUUUUGAAGAUUAAGUACAGGUGCUUCACAAGAGAAGUAGAGACCCCUUUGAUGAAUUUCAGAGGGAUAAUAUCAGAGCCUGCACGUUUAUUAGUGUUAAGAAGAUGAAGUUGAUUUGUAAUAUUUUGUUCUGUAAUGUCAACUGUUGAGAAGUUAUGUUGCUGUCUGGGUUGUCUGCAGGUAAAUCAUUAGCAUCGUUUUUCAGUUACAGAGAUAGAUAAAGUCAUUAAAUGAUUCAGCUUUUAUCAAGGGGAUGAAUUUUUAGCUCACCGUUAAUAACCAAAGUAGUAUUAGCAACACUUAUAUUUUGAAGAUUAAUGAUAGAUUUUACAACAUGCUGACAUUUACCAGGUGUAAAGAUUUGUCUAUAAGUGAUUAUUGAAGUUUAGAUAGAUAUUUUCUUUAGCCUCUCAGAUCAUGGAAAUCGCUUGGUUUCUAGUUGAGAAGAACUCUUACAUUGAUAUAUUUAGAAUUGAGAAAAAGUCCUGUGUUGUUGUACAUGUAUUUAGAGUUGAAAAGAAGUCCUGUGUUAAUGUAAAAAUAUUUAUAGUUGAGAAAAAGGCCUGUGUUGAGGUACAUGUAUUUAGAGUUGGAGAGAAGUCCUGUGUUGAUUUACAGUACCUGUGUUGGUGUAAACAUGUCAAAAGUUGAGAAGUUCUGUGUUGGGGUACAUGUUUUUAUAGUUGAGAAAAAGGCCUGUGUUGAGGUACAUGUAUUUAUAGUUGGGGAGAAGUCCUGUGUUGAUGUACAGUACAUGUAUUUAUAGUUGGGGAGAAGUCCUGUGUUGAGGUACAGUACAUGUAUUUAGAGUUGGGGAGAAGUCCAGUGUUGAGGUACAGUACAUGUAUUUAGAGUUGAGAAGUCCAGUGUUGAGGUACAGUACAUGUAUUUAGAGUUGGGGAGAAGUCCUGUGUUGAUGUACAGUACAUGUAUUUAUAGUUGGGGAGAAGUCCUGUGUUGAUGUACAGUACAUGUAUUUAUAGUUGGGGAGAAGUCCUGUGUUGAUGUACAGUACAUGUAUUUAUAGUUGAGAAGAAGUCCUGUGUUGAUGUACAGUACAUGUAUUUAUAGUUGGGGAGAAGUCCUGUGUUGAUGUACAGUACAUGUAUUUAUAGUUGGGGAGAAGUCCUGUGUUGAUGUACAAUACAUGUAUUUAGAGUUUACCUGUCUUUAUGAUAUUACUUAUUAUCCUAUUAUCUGGAUAUACAAAGAAAAUGACCAGUAGUGUAACAGGUUGUAACAGAGAACCUAUAUCUGCAUCACUACCAAAGCCAGCAGCGUAACAACAUUUACAUCACUAUCACAAAGAAGCUCCAACAUCUACAUCACUAUCACAAAGAAGUUCCAACAUCUACAUCACUAUUACAAAGAAGUUCCAACAUCUACAUCACUAUCAUAAAGAAGCUCCAACAUCUACAUCACUAUCACAAAGAAGCUCCAACAUCUACAUCCCUAUCACAAAGAAGCUCCAACAGCUACAUCACUAUCACAAACAUCUACAUCACUAUCACAAAGAAGUUCCAACAUCUACAUCACUAUCACAAAGAAGUUCCAACAUCUACAUCCCUAUCACAAAGAAGCUCCAACAUCUACAUCCCUAUCAACACCAUAAAUUUAUAGGUAAAUAGGCCCUUACUUUCGGAAAAAUCCAUCCAAAUCUAUUGCUCUUUCACUAUAGAAUUGUCAAUUCCCAGUAACAAGCCCACCUUGCUACUUAUAUGCUACAUAAAAAUUUUCAGGGAAAAUACAGUUGUCGCCAUGUCCAUCCGUCCAUCCUUUCGUGUCCACAGCACAGUAUGCAUUGAUCAUACGAAGGUGAUGUGCAGUAUACCAAAUUAAGGGCCCCAACCAUUUAUUUACAGAGUUAUUGCCAUUAGUUAAAAUUUAGCGUCUAGAGCAAAACUUUGUUAAAAUUUCUUGUCUGGAGCAUAAUUUUGCUUGGUUUUAAGGUAGGAUGUAUACAUCAGCCACCCAAAAGCAUGGUGCAGUGUAGCAAAGUUGGGGUAAAUGACUUUUCAGUACAGAGUUAAUCUUUUUUAACUAAACAACAAGAAUGUUUUAUAAGUUGAUGUCUUUUACUCUGUAGAAACUGAGAAAGCAUUCAAUGCUACUUUAAAAGUCCAGAAUUUGUUUCAUAACCUAUCUGUUAAUGUGAUAGUAAAGCUGGGGCAUAGUUAUUUUUUUAACCCUGGUAAAAUAGCUGCAGUAUAUAACUUCUUUUUAGCUCAUUCUGUUGAGCAUUAGAUUAGUAAGUCAGGGGUCACACGUUCAAAUUCUAACUGAGGCAUUGGCACCCAUUUAGGGAUUCAUAUAAAAUACUACGCAAUACUCUAUCAAGCAUAACUGUAACCCUGUAAAAUACUUGCUGCAAUAUACCUCUCAGGUAGAGAUAACUUCUCAUUAGCUCGAUCAGUUGAGCAUCUGACUAGUAAUUAAGCCAGGUCUGAUGGGUUCGAGUCCUAACAGGGGCAUGGAAACACUGUUACUUAGUCUUCAUUCUACUGUAUUCUUGAAACAGACUGUGUAAAAGUUACUUUUUCAGGAUGUAUGAUUUCAAUUACAUCCAGAAGAAUUAAGUUUUGCUGAUAUAAUAAAAAUUUUCAGCUUUGGUUAAAUGUAACAUCAACAUCAUGGUCCUAACUAAAUGAAACAUUGGUGAUAUAUUUGAAGUUUGCCUCGAUAUGCUUUGGUAUUGUCAUUCAUUGUAAAACUUAUUUGAUAUCUGUGGUGUGUGUAAAAUGGAGAUUUGUUUUAUGUUAACUUAUCUGGAAUAAUUGUUAUGUUUUAUUGUUGAAUUUUAUGUUUACUCUAAUCAAAGAUAAACUACUGUGUGGUUACAGUUGUUUUCUAUAAAAUGUACUUGCAAUAAAAAAUGUCACAAUUAUGCUGGUUUAAACAUGUAUGCCUGGGUUGUUAUGUUGCUCAAUACAUACAUAAAGAGUCAAUAUGAAAUAAAUUUGGUAUCUCGCUGGUCAAAAGAGCAAAACCUAGGUUAUCAAUAUCAUACCUUGUAAUUUGGUUUUUAAGGUUUGAUUUUCAAUUAUUUAUCAUUUCUCACAUUUGCCUUUUGCAAUGAUGCAUCACAACAACCCAGGUACCACUGGUUUUACAAAGGGAAGAAAAUAAAUUUUUAAAUAAUUGA